rnacentral:rRNA from 1 species
UGCGCAGGCGGCCGUGUGUGUGAGGCGUGAAAGCCCGGAGCUCAACUCCGGAAUUGCACCUCAAACUACACGGCUAGAGCAUUGCAGAGGAGACUGGAAUUCCCGGUGUAGCGGUGAAAUGUGUAGAGAUCGGGAGGAACACCGGUGGCGAAGGCGGGUCUCUGGGCAAUUCCUGACGCUGAGGCGCGAAAGCGUGGGGAGCAAACGGGAUUAGAUACCCCGGUAGUCCACGCUGUAAACGAUGACGACUAGGUGUGGGGGGGUUCAGUCCCUUCCGUGCCGCAGCUAACGCAUUAAGUCGUCCGCCUGGGGAGUACGGCCGCAAGGUUGAA